rnacentral:rRNA from 1 species
GCGGAGGGAUCAUUACCGAGUUUACAACUCCCAAACCCAAUGUGAACGUUACCAAACUGUUGCCUCGGCGGGAUCUCUGCCCCGGGUGCGUCGCAGCCCCGGACCAAGGCGCCCGCCGGAGGACCAACCAAAACUCUUAUUGUAUACCCCCUCGCGGGUUUUUUUAUAAUCUGAGCCUUCUCGGCGCCUCUCGUAGGCGUUUCGAAAAUGAAUCAAAACUUUCAACAACGGAUCUCUUGGUUCUGGCAUCGAUGAAGAACGCAGCGAAAUGCGAUAAGUAAUGUGAAUUGCAGAAUUCAGUGAAUCAUCGAAUCUUUGAACGCACAUUGCGCCCGCCAGUAUUCUGGCGGGCAUGCCUGUCCGAGCGUCAUUUCAACCCUCGAACCCCUCCGGGGGGUCGGCGUUGGGGAUCGGCCCUCCCUUAGCGGGUGGCCGUCUCCGAAAUACAGUGGCGGUCUCGCCGCAGCCUCUCCUGCGCAGUAGUUUGCACACUCGCAUCGGGAGCGCGGCGCGUCCACAGCCGUUAAACACCCAACUUCUGAAAUGUUGACCUCGGAUCAGGUAGGAAUACCCGCUGAACUUAAGCAUAUCAAUA